rnacentral:lncRNA from 1 species
GCUCCUUUCUUGAACACAAAAAAGAGUAGCGCCGCAUUUCACAAAGAAAGGACCCCUUCCUUGUCAUCCCUUUCUUCAACGGAGAACACACCAAAAAAGGGAGAUCUGGUGAACGAACACCUAGGGAAAAGGUGAGGAAAUGGAGGAAAAUAAAUGAAAAAGAAAACGGGAAUAGAGAGAGAACGAAAAAUACAGUCUGCUUCAGCAUUUCAAGCUCGAUAAAAAGCUAAACAAUCAGCCAUUGAAAGAAUCCCUUAAGCUCCAUAGCUCUUCGACCCAUAAUUCCCUUCUUUUGUCUAUUUUUAUCCAUUAAAAUAUAGCUUCUUUUGCUUUGAAAUAGUAGCUAAAAACGUGCUCAAUUUCAGCCUAAAACACCCUUGAAGCACCUUUGAAACACCAGCCGCAAACCUUUCCCUAAAGCAGCCCCAAACAACCCCGAUUCCAGCUAAAAAGCAGGCCCCAAAACCCAGCGAAAAUCUGCUCGAAAAACAGUCCAAAAAUCAACCUCCACACUCCAAACACCGAGAACAUAGCACAAGUUAUCAACGAGUUCGAGUCGAGGCGGUUCGAGGUCAUCGAUUCCAGUUCAAAUUCUGAUCGAUAAGCUCAUCGGAGAACUUUCAGAGCUCUGUUUUGUGCUGUACACAUUGGGGAACAUAUUCCAUAAUAAAGGUUCAAUUUUAAUUCAUUUCUUUAUUUGGUAAUUUACGUUGUAUUUCAGUACUUUCAAAUUCAUUGUCGUUGCUAGUUUUGGUAAUCUUGUCACAUGCUUUAUGAAUUGAUUUCUUUGUUGCCAUUUGUGCCGUCUCCUUCUCUAUUGAUUUAGUGAUUGUAUUUCCAAGGAUAGUUGGUUUAUUAAUGGGUCAUGAGAAUUUGAGCUGAUUGUAUAUUUGGGUUCAAUUGAACUAGGUGCAACAAAGGGCGUGGGCAGAACAAGUUCAUUUGCUAGGCCCAAUGCUUCAAUCAGUAGAUUAAGAGAUGGCCCAACUUUCCUUAUCCAAAAAUGAUAAUUUGUUUUUUGAGAAUUUUUUAUAAAGCACCAUCUUUUAAGUCUAAUUAGCCAUUUAUAGAUACCCUUUGUU